AUUGAACGCUGGCGGCAGGCUUAACACAUGCAAGUCGAGCGGGGAAGGGUAGCUUGCUACCUGACCUAGCGGCGGACGGGUGAGUAAUGCUUAGGAAUCUGCCUAUUAGUGGGGGACAACAUUCCGAAAGGAAUGCUAAUACCGCAUACGCCCUACGGGGGAAGGCAGGGGAUCUUCGGACCUUGCGCUAAUAGAUGAGCCUAAGUCAGAUUAGCUAGUUGGUGGGGUAAAGGCCUACCAAGGCGACGAUCUGUAGCGGGUCUGAGAGGAUGAUCCGCCACACUGGGACUGAGACACGGCCCAGACUCCUACGGGAGGCAGCAGUGGGGAAUAUUGGACAAUGGGCGAAAGCCUGAUCCAGCCAUGCCGCGUGUGUGAAGAAGGCCUUCUGGUUGUAAAGCACUUUAAGCGAGGAGGAGGCUGCCGAGAUUAAUACUCUUGGAUAGUGGACGUUACUCGCAGAAUAAGCACCGGCUAACUCUGUGCCAGCAGCCGCGGUAAUACAGAGGGUGCGAGCGUUAAUCGGAUUUACUGGGCGUAAAGCGUGCGUAGGCGGCUUUUUAAGUCGGAUGUGAAAUCCCUGAGCUUAACUUANGAAUUGCAUUCGAUACUGGGAAGCUAGAG
rnacentral:rRNA from 1 species